rnacentral:misc_RNA from 1 species
GAUGAAGAACGCAGCGAAAUGCGAUAAGUAGUGUGAAUUGCAGAAUUCAGUGAAUCAUCGAAUCUUUGAACGCACAUUGCGCCCCUUGGUAUUCCGAGGGGCAUGCCUGUUCGAGCGUCAUUAUAACCCCUCAAGCUCAGCUUGGUGUUGGGGCCUGCCGCACGGGCAGCCCUUAAAAUCAGUGGCGGUGCCAUCUGGCUCUAAGCGUAGUAAUUCUUCUCGCUAUAGAGUCCCGGUGGAUGCUUGCCAUUAACCCCCAAUUUUCUAUGGUUGACCUCGGAUCAGGUAGGGAUACCCGCUGAACUUAAGCAUAUCAAUAAGCCGGAGGA